UCAAGAUGUUUUCUUUAUUCACUGCCUGGUUUCCUGCCAAUAAUAAAUAUAGGCGUCUUUCAAGCUGCAGUAUGCGCUAUUCGAUCACUGCUGGAGCACUUGCAGCGAGCGCAUCUAUUUGGAGUAAAAUUGCUAUGGAUGAGCUGUUUUUGCAAAGUUUGAUACAAUCCUGUAACCUUGAUUGGCUCUUAUACCCAGAGUAUCUUCAUCUGGUUUUACGAAUAUUUUCAAUUGGUCUAGCAAUUCUAUGUAACGUUUUGAUGGUGAAUGCUUCAGCUAAAUCGAGUGAUAUGGGUACCAGUGCUGAAACUGCAGCGGUUACGUCUGGAGUUAAUUUUUUUUUGACGGCCGUUUUAGGUAAACUGUUGUUUCACGAAAAGUUAUCUUUGUCAUGGUACAUUGGAUUGGCGUUCAUUUUUUUAGGUGUUUUGAUUAUUGGUGAAAAUAAAGAAGACCGAAAAAAAACCAAUUAAGAA